UGGGGAAUAUUGGACAAUGGAGGAAACUCUGAUCCAGCAAUUCUGUGUUUGUGAAGAAGGUUUUAGGACUGUAAAACACUUUUAGUAGGGAAGAAAAAAAUGACGGUACCUACAGAAGAAGCAACGGCUAAAUACGUGCCAGCAGCCGCGGUAAUACGUAUGUUGCGAGCGUUAUCCGGAAUUAUUGGGCUUAAAGGGCAUCUAGGCGGUAAGACAAGUUGAAGGUGAAAACCUGUGGCUCAACCAUAGGCUUGCCUACAAAACUGUUGAACUAGAGUACUGGAAAGGUGGGUGGAACUACACGAGUAGAGGUGAAAUUCGUAGAUAUGUGUAGGAAUGCCGAUGAUGAAGAUAACUCACUGGACAGAAACUGACGCUGAAGUGCGAAAGCUAGGGGAGCAAACAGG
rnacentral:rRNA from 1 species